rnacentral:misc_RNA from 1 species
AGCAGAAUCUGCCUUUUCAUUUCCCCAAAUUCGAUAUUUAGUAAAUCAAAGUUCUGAAGUCGGCUCACAUGUAACGCGAUUAGCACCAAUGUAGUUUGACAUCGCGCACUUCAACUAAAUCUCAUCAAAACGAUACGCUCGGGUAUACAAGUCUUGUUUGAUGUAAACAAAUGUCCCUUUGGCAGAAAAACAUUAUUAUCCGAGUUAAUAAUGGUAAAUAUCAAAAGACAGGGGACAAUAUUUCGAAAUAUGAGGUAACCGGAAUUCGGUUUACGUGGUUUUUUUGUACAUAGGUAAUACCGCAAUAGUCUCUCCAGUAUUCAAAAAAGGGAUGGAGGGAAUCGGUAGAGCUUGUUCCACUUAUAGGAAGGGAUGGUACCUAAGAUUUGCAGGGUACAAGUACUUCGAAAAUGUCUUGUAAACGACGAUGAACCUGAUUAUUCUGCUAGUUCAAGACAAUGGCAGGACUUGUGUUUUUGGAUGGCGGCCUAAACAAACGGAUGGCGGAUAUUACUAUCGCUGCCAAUGAAUGGCGGGCGUAUGGGAAAUUAGUCUUAAGAGAUGGCGGGCCCGCCAUUGCUUAUGGCAUGUUACGAGACCCCUGCGGUAACCAAUUGUUCGGUUACGUGAAUUAUAUUUGCGUAACCUGUGGAUAACUGAUCCGUUACCUCAAAGUUACGUUGAACUUAUCUCAGUCUAAAACAUUUGUCGGAAUAGUAGUCAAACUUUAGGGUCUCGAAAUUACAAUACUCAACUGUAUAAUAAACGUCUUAUAAUCGUAAAGUUUGCAAGUUUUAAUUUCUGAACGUCUACAGGUCAAGAUGUAUCCGAUUUGCGGUUCACGUAAAUUUAAUUUUGCGUAACCGACACGCGAACAUAACUGCGGUUCGAGUGAAAUAUGUAGCCCUGAAAUGGGUUUAUGACACUACAGGACACGCGAACAUAACUGCGGUUCGAGUGAAAUAUGUAGCCCUGAAAUGGGUUUAUGACACUACAGGACACGCGAACAUAACUGCGGUUCGAGUGAAAUAUGUAGCCCUGAAAUGGGUUUAUGACACUACAGGACACGCGAACAUAACUGCGGUUCGAGUGAAAUAUGUAGCCCUGAAAUGGGUUUAUGACACUACAGGACACGCGAACAUAACUGCGGUUCGAGUGAAAUAUUUAGCCCUGGAAUGGGUUUAUGACACUACAGGACUCGCGAACAUAACUGCGGUUCGAGUGAAAUAUGUAGCCCUGAAAUGGGUUUAUGACACUACAGGACACGCGAACAUAACUGCGGUUCGAGUGAAAUAUGUAGCCCUGAAAUGGGUUUAUGACACUACAGGACACGCGAACAUAACUGCGGUUCGAGUGAAAUAUGUAGCCCUGAAAUGGGUUUAUGACACUACAGGACACGCGAACAUAACUGCGGUUCGAGUGAAAUAUGUAGCCCUGAAAUGGGUUUAUGACACUACAGGACUCGAACUUAACGACGGCACCGACGGCAAUUGCUGUCGUUGGGAUAUAAACUGCCAUAGAUAGAGAGCAUCACCGACGGCACAAAAGUGCCAUCAAGGCAAAUCUCCCCAACAAUGGCAAAAUGUAUAUACCAGGUGUACAUUAUCUGCCAAUAUUUAACAUUUGUACAUUUGAAAUAUGUCUACAUACAUGUCAUGUUUAUUUGCUGCAAAUGUCACAUUUAAAAAAAAUAUUGCCAUAGGCAGGCUUACAAUUGCCGUUGGUGGGCCAUUUCACUCAGACAAAUUCUUAAGUUCGAACCCUAUGACAUGGAUAUUAUGGGUUAUAUAAUUCUCACCUUUACAGGAUAAAGCAGAUAUAUUGAUCUGCACAUUUUGAUCCGAUCUCUCGAGGGCGGGCUGAGUAUUUUUAGAAUAUAUUGGUCUGCUUUCAGAAGUGUAUCUCUUUUAUUUUAUAAAAUCAAAAUUACAAUACCAUCAUGACAUUGAGAACUACUACUGGGCACAACAUGGUUUCAAGAGACACUAAUACAUGCAAUGUACCUAUCAGCUUACGUUCUGGAAAAUAUUCUGCUUACAGGAAUGUAUCUCUUUUAUUUUAUAAUAUCAAUAUUACAAUACCAUUAUGACAUUCAAAACUAUUACUGGGCACAAGAUGUCUUCAAGAGACACUAAUACAUGCAAUGUACCUAUCAGCUUAAGUUCUGAAAAUUGUUCUGCCUUCAAAAGUGUAUCUCUUUUAUUUUAUAAAAUCAAAGUUACAAUACCAUUAUGACAUUCAAAACUAUUACUGGGCACACUAUGUGUUCAAGAGCCACUAAUACGUACACUCGUGUUAAGUAAAGUCUUAUGUUUCAGAUGUUUGUCUCUUGUUUUAUAAAAUAAAAAUUACAAUACCAUUAUGACAUUAAAAGCUACUAGACAUAAGAUGAAUUCAAGAGGCACUAAUAUAUUCGCAAGUCGAAUAUUAACUUCCUCUCGUCACAUGUUAAUGAAGCAUACGAGUGUGUGGGUGUUUUGUUUUCGAAAAUCGACGUACAUCAAAUGCAAACCUCAUCUGUCUUAAAACACGUAAACAACGAUUUGUUUUACUUGAGAGAUCUUCACCUCAUAACAAUUUUUUAUUAUUAUUAUCUCAAGUUAUGGUCGCCAUAAUUAAAAUAUGAAUAGUGCAUGAGAGAAUGAUGCAAGAUAUCCGAUUGUAAUCACUCUAGUGUUAUGUAUGACGUCAUAUUUUAUAACAAGAUCUACUACUGAAGUGUGUUAAACUUGACAUAAUUGCAAUGUAUUAUCUAAGAGGCCACGUGAUAUUUUCAAACAGAUAAGCUCUACAACUUGAGCAUUUUUAAACACACAUACACACACAUUUUUCACGCUGUACAACACGAUGUCCUUUCUUCUGUGGCGUGUUUUCCUCCUAAGUCUGAAGACACUGCUUUGUUGGUGCACCGUCUUUCUGAGUUGUAAUGAAGAGAAUAGAAAAGUGAUGAACAAUUUGUUAGACAUUAAAACAGAGCCGCGCGAACAGUGCGCUCUGCUGUGCUACAGAAACUCGGCGUGUGUGGCUUUUUCUUACAGCGGGUGCGACCACCAGUGUAUGACGCACAGGGGAGGACCACCAGCCCUGAAUUACACCGCAGCGCCAGGAUGGAUUGUGUACACUUCAAACGAGCGAUUUUGCAGUUCAAGCGAGCGGUCUGUCAGUUCAAACGACCAGGCUGCCAGUUCAAAUGACCAGACUGCCAGUUCAAAUGACCAGACUGCCAGUUCAGAUGACCAGACUGCCAGUUCAGAUGACCAGACUACCAGUUCACACGACCAGACUACCAGUUCGAAUGACCAGGCUACCAGUUCAGAUGACCAGACUACCAGUUCACACGACCAGACUACCAGUUCGAGUGACCAGGCUACCAGUUCAGAUGACCAGACUACCAGUUCACACGACCAGACUACCAGUUCGAGUGACCAGGCUACCAGUUCAGAUGACCAGACUACCAGUUCAGAUGACCAGGCUACCAGUUCAGACGACCAGGCUACCAGUUCAGACGACCAGGCUACCAGUUCAGACGACCAGGCUACCAGUUCAAAUGACCAGGCUACCAGUUCAAAUGACCAGGCUACCAGUUCAGACGACCAAACUGCCAGUUCAGACGACCAGGCUGCCAGUUCGAGUGAUCAGGCUGCCAGUUCAAAUGACCAGACUAUCAGUUCGAGUGACCAAACUAUCAGUUUAGAUGACCAGACUAUCAGUUCGAGUGACCAGACUACCAGUUCAAAUGACCAGACUACCAGUUCAGACGACCAGGCUACCAGUUCAAAUGACCAGGUUGCCAGUUCAGAUGACCAGGGUACCAGUACCAACGACCAGGCUACCAGUUUGAGCGACCCGUAUGCCGUGGUUGAACAGUGGGCGUCUGCUGUGAUUGGAUUCAGUUCCGAAAGUACUUCUGAUCCACCAAAAUGACGUCAUUUCUCAGCAACGCAAUUCGACUGGACCUCGACGUGACAUUUUCUGAGGACUCUGCUGGGAUUGAUGCCAUCAAGGUGGUCGGGAAAAAGAACAGUGGCUAGUGGAAAGACUUGAUUAAAUAAUGAAUUUCCAAGUUACAUACUACUACGGUGGCUGGGAAAGGACAUUACAUAAAAAAAAAUUCUCGAUCGAUCGACUGACUAACUCGAUCGAUCAAAUUUACUAUCUUGAUCGAUCGACUUUCGAAAUCGAGGCUUUCCGUCAAGAUGGACGAUCGGGAUACCGUUAUAGGUUGACUAUACCAAAUAAUAUCCCACAGGCAACAAUGUUAACAUUUGUUGUUAAAAACACUAUAUGCAAUAUAUCAACCAAACUAUUACCCACAAACAUCAGUACCACAGCUAAAAUAUACUUAUGACAUUCAUCUAGGUAGGGGUGAGACGUAGCCCAGUGGUAAAGCUCUUGCUUGAUGCGCGAUCGGUUUGGGAUCGAUCCCCGUCAGUGGGCCCAUUGGGCUAUUUCUCGCUCCAGCCAGUGCACCACGACUGGUAC